CCAAGGCAGGGUUGAUGAUUGGGGUUAAGUCGUAACAAGGUAUCCCUACCGGAAGGUGGGGANGGAUCACCUCCUUUCUAUGGAGUUUAGUUUCUAAUAAGAAACCAAGACAACAAGAAAAAUUAGAUGGAUGAUUUAUUGGAUUACUUCUUUUGUUCUGUUUAGUUUUCAGGGAUUGUUUUCUCUGAGCAAUUGUUCUUUAAAAACUGGAUAAUAGACAUCUUUUAAAAAAAA
rnacentral:misc_RNA from 1 species